ACGAAGGGGGCUAGCGUUGUUCGGAAUUACUGGGCGUAAAGCGCACGUAGGCGGACAUUUAAGUCAGGGGUGAAAUCCCAGAGCUCAACUCUGGAACUGCCUUUGAUACUGGGUGUCUUGAGUAUGGAAGAGGUAAGUGGAAUUCCGAGUGUAGAGGUGAAAUUCGUAGAUAUUCGGAGGAACACCAGUGGCGAAGGCGGCUUACUGGACCACGACUGACGCUGAGGCACGAAAGCGUGGGGAGCAAACAGG
rnacentral:rRNA from 1 species